rnacentral:ribozyme from 1 species
UAUUUCAGUUCUUUUCCACUCUUAUUCAUUGUUUUGCCUAAUCUUUCUCGCAAUUUUGCAUUUGUAAUAUGAACCACACGGAAGU